UACGUAGGUGACAAGCGUUGUCCGGAUUUACUGGGCGUAAAGAGCGCGCAGGCGGUCGAUCAAGUCGAGUGUGAAAGCCCCCGGCUCAACUGGGGAGGGUCAUUCGAUACUGAUCGACUCGAAGGCAGGAGAGGGUAGUGGAAUUCCCGGUGUAGUGGUGAAAUGCGUAGAUAUCGGGAGGAACACCAGUGGCGAAGGCGGGUAGCUGGGCCGACACUGACGCUGAUGCGCGAAAGCCAGGGGAGCGAACGGG
rnacentral:rRNA from 1 species